GGUAGUGGGCAGGGCUGGGAAACGGGACAGUCCGUGGGGUAAGGAGGUGGCCGGCAGGUGCGGUUUCAGAGGGGAUGACAACUCGUAGGUGAGAACUGGGCCUCUCUGGGUCACUGAGGCUUCCUUCCAUCCCCACAUUUCCAUGCAGACCAGGAAGUGGGGGAAGGGAGGUCAUUGUCCUGAGACUUCCUCUCUCUGGCUGGGGGUAGGGGGAGUGCCUCGUCGUGGGGGCCUAUUGUUCCCACACAAAGGGGCAGUGAUAAGUAGGUUGUUUGCAGCUUCUGGUGCCAGUGGGAGAGGCUGCCUCCUUGCCCCAGGCCCUGCCGCAUGGGGUACCAGACGAUGCGAGGCCUCGGCUCCCCAAUGGCAGCAGAGGACGGGCUGGGGCUUGUACCUGAAUCACAAAAGAGGCAUUGAUGGGCCGUGGGCAGGCCGAGGAGGUCAAGGACCAAGCCGGACAGCACUGGGCUGGCACAGGCUGCUCCUGGGCCCCUGAGCGGCACCCUCACUUCUCUGUACUUCAGUCCUGCCCCCCUUUCUUUCCCUUCCUUCCCUCCUUCACGUCUCCCUCCCUCCUUCCCCCCACCCUUCGCUUUCUCCCGCUUCCCUUCCACUCUUGUCAUCUGCAACUUUCCGGCCUGUACAGCGGGCACCCACUGCUCCCCAUCCUCCCUUCCGGCCCAGGGUCCUGAGCCCUCCUGUUCUCCUCUCUGGAUACCCCUACUCUAGCACCCCGCACCCCUUGUCUUCAGAUCAGCCCCGGCCUAUUCUGCUUCCCGCGUCUGCUCCCCUCCCCUCAUCAAAACUUACCUGUCCUGAGUCCCAGCGCCCUCACGGCCCUGCGGGGUGGAUGGACGGCUUGGUGCUUGGGCCAAAGAUCUGUUUACCACACUAGUUAUCUGGCCGAUCUGAUCUCAUUUGGGCCGAGGCAUCUAAUGGAGUCCCUGACUUAAUGUGUUCUCUGUCUCUCAGGUCACGGUGGCCUGAUCAGGGCUCCUCCUUGCCUUGAUUCUACAGCUUCAGGUCUGGGGGGAGACGUGCCACAGCUCUGGGUGUGCCCACUUCCUCCUCAGGCCGAGCACCUCCGCUCUCCUAGGGACCCAGCAGGUGCUCUGCCUCCGUGAGCCCAUGGCCAGGGAUGGACAUGACCUGGCCCCGGCUGCCUGUUCUCUGCUCCCGCUCUUUGUGCUCCUGGUGUACACCUGCGUCUCACCUACCACCAACUCCCGCUUUCUCGGGUCGACCAUUUGUCUGAUAAACUAGUUCACACCAAGGCUACAGCUCCAGUUUCCUGGAGCCUCUGCAUUUUUCAAUGACAGUCCGAGGGAUCAAUCUGGUCUCAAAAGAGUGGCAUUUUGGCGAGAUGGGCAGGCGGAUUGGGUGGCCUUCUUGCUCGGAUGAGACUAUAUGCACGUUCACAUAAUCACCCUGUGUCGCCCACAGGGGGGCCUGUCUUCUUUAAUUAGCACAUAGAGGUCACUCCUGCACGUCGGCCAGAUGACGGUGUGCGUGGGAGAGGGCAGCGAAUGACGAACCUCCCCGUUGGCACCUGCACUUUGCUUUUCCCUGCGCUCAGAAGGGCCAUUCCGUGAGGCUUGCAAAUCACCUGCCAACAUCAAGAUGUAGAGGCUGAUAAGUCAGAUCUGGGCGGAGCCUGAAACUGGACUUCUGACAAGCUGCCAGGGGAACAAGACUGUUUCUGGAAAAGGAAUCAAGACGAGACACACCUCGUAGGAUGAGAUGAGACAGGGUCUCACCUGGAGACUUUAAAGUGUGUGCACGGAGCAAGCAGUCAGUGGUGGAAGCAACCGGUUCGAAGCAUCCUUAAAAGCUCCUGUUCUUUGAACUCAGGGCAGAGAGCCGAGCGGCCACCCGGGCAGUUGGCAGUGUGCGAGGAUUCGCGGAGACAGCCGAGCGGAGGUGCCGGGACGUGACGCUGGCCCCACCGGUGCCUCCUCGGUUAGUGGGAAAUAGAGAAGGAGGCACCGGAGUGAAGGCCAGUGGGACGAAAGGAGGGGUUUCUUCUGAGAGCAAGAGGUCAGAUGGGCAGAGGCUGCGGGGUGGAAGGACUCGCCUCUGGGAAGGAGGUAGCUGUCAUCAAGAAUCUCCCCUGGAGUGAAUGCUUUGUGGGCGCUAACUCAGUUACUCCGCGAAGGAGCAGCCAAGGGAGAUGUUUUUAUGCCCGUUUUACAGGUGCAAAGCUGAGGCUCCUUUAAGGAUGCAGUCAUUUAAAGCCCCAGGCAUGUCAGCAGUAAGCAGUCUGCGGUUUACCAAGCCUUCCAGGCGAUUCUGUGGCUCGAGCCAUGGGUCCAGGGUUGUGUGGCGGUGGCCUCUUUUUCAGAAAGGACAUUUCAGCUCUAAAAACUGAGACGUAGCAUCUGUGAAAGCUCAAUAGGAAAAAUCAUUAGCACAAGACGACCUUCUAGAAGCAUUCUGUGGAUUCUUCAGGCAACUGAUUUCUGGGCAUAGACUAAGGGACGGAAGAGAUUUGCAACUGCGUAGAAUCGACGUGUUUAUACAAAGCUUAUUCUCUUGUGGACGAAGAUUCAAGCCCCCUCCCUUUUCAAGCAGAAUCAGGGCAAGGUGACAGUUUGUAUAUUUGCCGAUGUUCGGGUAAGGUAAGACCUUUGUCUUUAAAAGAUUUUGUUGACUGCGGGCUUUCAGAGAUGUGUUGUCUUAACCUGUGGCUCUGUCGAACCUGAGCUAGUAUCUCACUACUGAACUGAUGGUGAAGGUUUGUUGAGUGUUUACUAUGUGCCUGAUAUUUUUGAAUGUGCUUUACAAGUCUUGCUUCCUGAAUCCCCCCAAUGAGCCCAUGAAACAGGUACUGUUACUAUUCUUAGUUACAGAUGGGGUCAUGGAGGCCCAGAGAGGUUCGGUAACUUUCCCUCGAUCAGUAACUUUCCCUAGAAGUGUCGUUGCCAAGACAGGAGCCCGGGUAGGUUUGUUUUCUUUUUUAAACAUUUUACUUUGCACGUGUCAAACAUAUACAGAAGUAGAGAAAGUAGCCUAAUGAACCUCCACGUGUCCGUCACUCACUCUGAAGAACGAUCAACAUUCUGCCGUCUCGUUUUAUCUCUUUCUUAGCUUUCACAGCACGUGUGGUGGUGUUUUCUGGAAUGGUUUAAUCCUGAGUAUCAUAUCGUUUUGCCCGUAAAUACCUUAUUAAGUGUAUGUAACACGUAAGGACUUUUCCUCUUUUAUGUGACCAUAUACUGUUCUCACACCCCAAAAAUGAUUCCUGUGUAUCAUCUAAUACUUGGUCUGUGUUCCGUUUUCCCCAAUGGCCCCAAACUGUCUUUUUGCAGCUGGUAUGUUCGAAUCAGGGUGCAACCCCCCAACACUGCAUUCGGUUGAUGUUCUUUAGUCUGUUCUGAUCUGUAACAGUUUCCCACUUAAAUUCCCCAUUCCAUUUACUUAUAAAAUAUUCUGGAUUUUGUUCUUUACUGCUGUCUUGCUGCUGUCAUUUAACGUGUUUUUCUGUCUCUUAUAUUUCCUUGAAACCGGGACUUAGAACCAAAGGUGGAAUUUCAUUCGGGUUUAAUUUUCUGGAAAGACUCUUUCGCGGGUGCCACUCCCCCGCUCUGUCAUGCAGGCUAUCUAGUGACUCAGUUUUAAUGAUGUGAAGAUCGUCCCACGGGUUCAGGUGGUGUCAGCCUGGUCAGUUGAUGACACAGCUCCACGUCAGUCUUUCAUCUGCCUUAGCAGCCGUCAGUCACCAGCGAGUGCCAUCGAGGUCUGUUAUGUCAUAUAGGAUAGCAAAAUGGUGAUUUUCUAACCCGACCGUUUCGGUCUAUAUGCAUUAGUGAACUUCCCGCUCCAAGAGUCUGCUCACAUCGACUACUUGCUAACACAAGCCGUUUGACUUAAGAGUUUAUGCCCCGAAUCUGUGCUUCUCAAUUUUUCAUGUGCACAGAAAUCACCCGAGGGGCUUGUUAGAAUGCAGAUUCUGACUCCGUAGGUCUGGGGGGGACCUGAGGGUUUGCAUUUUUACUAAGUCCUCAAGUGAUAGGGAUGCUGCUCGUCUGAGGACCACACUUUGAAUAGCAAGGCCCGUCGAUCACCUAUUUUGCUUCUCAAUUACAUUUUCCUGACUGGUUCUUUCUUCUACAGAAUUUUUGGCUUAUCUGUGCAUCGACAAGCUACUCCGAUGCUAAACUAUGGUUCUGCAUUUACCCUUACAGAGGCAAGGUUAGUGGUUUUGAAACUUAAGUCUCCCUUCCAAGUCACCUUCCUGCUGUAAACUAAACUCCGGAGUGUGUUAUUCAGACUACAAAAUGUUAUCAUAGCUUAGGAUUUUCUGAGAAAAAUGGACCCAUCACAUAAUGUCAUACUGAAGGUGUAAUUUUUAUUGGGUUUGUGUGUGUGUCUCGCAUUUCGUUAAAAGUCCAAUGUUUUCCUAAGAGGAUAUGGUGACUUGGUGCUGUGCCAGGAGCAGACACAUCGUCUUCCGGUGUGACGUUUGUAGAAACAGCUGAGGACUCUGCCUGUCCUGUGUCUAGUCCCCCUUCUUUCGUCAGCAGAAACUUGGUGUCGCUUUGGAGAACUAUCUGCCUGAGGUGUUCUGCUCUUGCUCAGUCAAGGGCCGGGCCAAGCAGACCCUCUCCCUUCAUGAAUUUAAGUCUUGACUAGAACAUCAGGAUGAAAACGGUUGGAGCUCAAUUAUUUUAACAGCAGUGCCGAGAAGGAACUGUCCUCUGUGUCUUCCCUCUCAGUUUCCUAGAAAUGCCUUGGUCCCCUCUUUUCUAGAGUUGAAUACUCUUUCUUUGAAAAUGUGGGGUACCCCAUAAUUCCCCACGAAUUCUUUUCUGCUUAAUUUAGCCAGAAUCGUGCUCUGUUGCCGACGACCGAGAAACCCUAACUGAGCCUCCAUCACAGUCUAAAAAUGGUGGGACACGCCCGUUGGUGCCGUGGCGGGGAGGAGAUGGGCAGGCUGACAGGCGAGCGCUGUAGGGCUUUUGUUGUUUGACUUAGCGAUGACAGCAGCACUGAUCACUGCCAUCGUGGCGACGCAUCAGACAACCCUGAAAGCAGUAGUGAAAUGAGGAGUCGGGGCAAUGAGAAACCCCCUCGGAAUGACAUUUCUUUCUCUUGACCUCCAUGGAAUUUGGUGUUAUGAAGUCCACUUUUGCCCACUAGUCAGAGGGGCGUGUGCUUUACAAGCUAAUUUCAGGUGUUUGAGGCCAGAGCAAGAAACUGCCAGCAUCCGAGAUCGGGUCCUGUCAUAGGAUCCUCACUUCUCUGCCUCCCACAGCAACUUCAUCAACACCUGGAGCUGCAGCCAUUGCGAUCCCAGUGACACCCCGAAUCAUCAGAAAAGCCAUGUUCUCUAUAUUCUGCUGAAGACGGUAGAGAGUGAUUUCCAGCUGGAGAAGAUAGAUGGAUACACAUCCUCCCUAAUUCCUAAUGAAGUAAAUUACUAAACAAACAAAUUUAAAAAGCAAGACAGCUGCAAAUAAAUACAAAUAAUAACCAAAUGAGGAAUCACUUUUGUGUCUAGAAGAGUCGUGACCUUGUAAAGAACCAGAAAGUUCUGAUGUAGUGCUGCUCUCGAGUGCAAACCAAUCUUCCCAAGAAGAGAAAGGGGGGUUGAUGAAAAAAUUAGCGUUUUUACUAAUACUCUUCAUUUUAGAGAGAAACAGAAUCUCUAGAAGAGAAGGACAGAGUAGGCAGCCAUGCGAAAAGAUCCCUUGAGCUUGGAAGGCCCUAAAUGUCACCUUGAAACCUUAGGGCAGAGGAGGAGUUGCCAAGGCCUGCCAUCGUGGAGGGAGCCAAAAACCACAGAAGUGCGAUACAGCCUUGGCUGGAUGGAACAGACCUUGGUUUCUGACGUUCGGUGGCACCCCAAAAGGGAGAGCAGAGUCCAGGCUCCCAGGAGAAGUCCGCUGGCCAUGCUCCUCACCCCAUCACCUUCCCUGUCCCCAUCUCUGUGUCCCCAGACUGUAGACAAGUGGAGAGCUGAGUAAAAUCCACCGCCACACUGUAGCCUGCAAGACAGUGAGCCCCAGAUAAUGUGGAAAGGCAGAGGGGGGCGUGUCGAGGAAAAUUCCCUCACUCUGUAGAGUAAAUAGAUGUGUACAGAGCUGUACUCAAUAAACUUGAAUAAGAUAAAGGCCUGGUAUGGCAACCAUACAAACACACGACAGCAAGCAACAGCAGCAGACUAAAGAAAGGGGCCAUAAAAAUGAAUGAACGAAUGAAUGAAUGAAUGGCCUGUGCUGGAUGGAAACAUACUCCAGGAACUACCUAUGAACGUUUUGGAUGAGAGAAGAACUUAAUAAGACUGAGUUUGGUAAAACAAGACCUCCAAAGUGAGAUGACGUGAUAUUAUAGAAUAAGGUUUUAAAAGAUUUCAGAGCAAAAGAAACACACUGAGUUCAAAAAAUAAUAUUGAAGAUGAUACAUCAAGAGAAAUUAUUAAGACAUCACUGAAAGAUCAAAUUAUUGACAAAAAAGAAUUGAUGAAAUGAUUCUGGGAAAUACACAGGGAAAAGGCAAAGAUUAGGUUAGAGUUGAUGAUAGCAAGAGAGGAUAAAGAUGACCCAGUAUAACGAUAACUGACAUCUCUGAAUAAGGGACCCGACAAAGGAAACGGGGGACAAUAGCUCAGAGAUAAAUCAUCGGAAAUAAAGUACGAACCUUUAGAUCAAAAGGGCAUCAGGAAAAAAAAUGAUACGUGCGUAUUGGCGUUAAGCUGUAUCCUGGAUAAGAUAUUGAACUUGGAGGAUAAACAAAGACUUCUCAGACAUUCAGGCAGAAGAAGCCCACAAGGGGAAAAAGUCAAGUGAACCAGACUCAUUAAGAGAAGACAAUGGGGCAAUGUCUAGAAUGUUCCGAAGGAAAAAAA